GACGAACGCUGGCGGCGUGCUUAACACAUGCAAGUCGAACGAAGUGGCGAACGGGUGAGUAACGCGUAAUCAACCUGCCCUUCAGAGGGGGACAACAGUUGGAAACGACUGCUAAUACCGCCUACUGAAGGUGGGGAUUGCGUCUGAUUAGCUAGUUGGAGGGGUAACGGCCCACCAAGGCGAUGAUCAGUAGCCGGUCUGAGCGGGUGACCGGCCCCAUUGGGACUGAGACACGGCCCAGACUCCUACGGGAGGCAGCAGUGGGGAAUCUUCCGCAAUGGAGGAAAGUCUGACGGAGCAUCGCCGCGUGGGUGAUGACGGGCUUCGGUUUGUAAAGCUCUGUUAAUCGGGGCGCGGUACCGGAAUAGAAAGCCACGGCUAACUACGUGCCAGCAGCCGCGGUAAUAC
rnacentral:rRNA from 1 species